rnacentral:rRNA from 1 species
CUACAGUACGAGUUUGAUCCUGGCUCAGAACGAACGCUAGCGGGAUGCUUCAAACAUGCAAGUCGUACGCGAAAGUGGGUUCGCCCACGAGUAGAGUGGCGCACGGGUGCGUAACACGUAACUAACGUACCUCAUCGCUGGGGGAUAACUCCGGGAAACCGGAGCUAAUACCGAAUGAUCUAACGGGGUCUGCGGGCUCUGUUGGUAAAGCCGUAAGGCGCGGUGAGACCGGGUUGCGGCCGAUUAGCUAGUUGGUAGGGUAACGGCCUACCAAGGCGACGAUCGGUAGCUGGUCUGAGAGGAUGAUCAGCCACACUGGAACUGGAACACGGUCCAGACUCCCACGGGAGGCAGCAGUGGGGAAUUUUGGACAAUGGGGGCAACCCUGAUCCAGCAAUGCCGCGUGAGUGAUGAAGGCCUUCGGGUUGUAAAGCUCUUUUACCAGGGAUGAUAAUGACAGUACCUGGAGAAUAAGCUCCGGCUAACUCCGUG